CUGAGACCCGAGGGGAAGGAUUUGAUGGAGACAUCCUGUUUAGGGCUGAGUGUUCCAACAUCUCUCACUCUCUGCAUUUUGUCUGGCUGUCGGGCUCUGUAUUGGUUCCCAUCUGCUGCAGGAGGAAACUUCUCUGAUGAUGGCUGAGUAAGGAACUGACCUAUGGGCAUAACAGAAUUUCCUUCACAUGUAUAUUACGGCUCCCAGCUUUGUGUUUCCAUGGGAUUCCUGAGUGUGUAUAUGAGUGGGUCUCUGAGUCUGUAUCUGUUUCUUGCACAUUUUCUCAAGCUCUUUUCCUUCUGUUUGUUUUGUCCUAUUCCUGUGUUUUUGUUUUCGUUUUAUCUCAUUAUAUCUUACUUUAUUUUAUUGUUAUCUCUUAGAAACCUAUUUGCUUUCUAAUGAUUAAAUGGAGGGGAAGAGAAGAGGAACUUGGAAGAGUAGAGGGAGGGAAAAUUGUAACCAGGAUAUAUUAUUGAUAUAUAUAUAUAUAUGAAUGUCCUUUUAGUCCUGCUUGUAGAAAAUUCCUUAUUUAUUCUUGAAACAUAGGUAAGAAUCCACAACAAGUCUUUUCCUGGUGUUCUCCUAUCAGAAUUUUAUUUAUUCUAUUUUAUCUAAGAAAAAGUGAGUAGUUCCUUGGGCUUAUACAACAUACAGCAUCCAUUUGCUUGUUCAGGAAACAGGUGUCAUCUACUGUUUCAGUCACCAGGGACCAAGCAAUGAAAUGAAGCCUUUCUGUCUUCAAGCCUAAGCAGAGAAGAGGAAAGCAGAAGGAAUUCAGGGUUUGUAGCAUGAAGAGAAGGAUUUGUGGCCAAUACAUGACCAAUGAAAUCAUGAAGGGAACUGGAUCUACCGGAGAUGCCGAGCAAGUGCUCCUUCAGGAUCAUGGUCACCUCGCUCAGAAAUAUGAAAAGCCGGAAGUUGCACUUAAACAAUUUUGCCUAAACAAAGACACAAUCUGAACUGUUUUUGAAGAAGGCAUAGCAAGAAUAAUAAAUGUAGACUUCUAACAGCAA